AAAAAAAACUGGUUUCACUUUCAAACAGAUGUAAUUUACCUUAAAUAAUUGUAUCUCAACCUCUAAAUUGAACUUUAAUCACAUACAGGAGGCUCUUGCAGGGUCUAGCAAGCUAUUAACAUAGCAGGGGAUAAGAAAAUCUUAAUUAAACAGAACUUGCAAUAAAGAAAGCCUAAACAGGGCUCUCUUUACAGGAAGUGUUUAUGG